UGGGGAUGUAUUUCUUUACAGUAGGAGAGACAUAUAUGGUGUUGGAUUUGCACUGCUUUUGAUGCGGUCAGUGGCGCCCGAGGCGAGAUUUUUGUGGCACACCCCCUCUGUUGGCGAUUUUCAUAUGCUUACAAAAGAUAAGUCCCUGAAGAGCUCAUCCGUCCUUUGAACGGGGAUUAAUAAAAGGCUGAGAGGCAAGUAUCCGUAUAUAUACCUGUGUAUGAAAGGAAGAGAAGAAACGGCAUGAUAUUUUCCUGAUGGCAGCGUGCAUAAGGACUUGAGAAAAGAUGGACCUGCUGGUGUAUUGUGUCUGCUCCCACACACACUGAGGA